UUGAUACUGUUUGAGAUAUCAAUGUGAAGGCUUAGCCAUAACUUUUCCCCUUGGAAUUCGGUAUCGAAAUCAUGUAUCACAUGAACACCUUCCCAUUUGAAAAAAUGAAGAUGAAUAUUCAAAAUGAAGCUGGAUUUGAAAUGAAGUUGGAUUCAUAAAAUGACGGAUCCAAAGAUGAUGGAGAAAGUUUUGAUGCAAAAGAAAAGUAGUUUCUGUAGUAUAACAACAUAUGUUUUGAAUUUGUUAUUACUGUUACUAAGUCUCCAAACAAACUCAUUCCAAUACGAAACCUGUAUAGUUCAAGUUAUUAAAAACCUUUCUUAAGGUAUUAAAUACUUAUGUCGUGUUUACUCUCAUUCCUAUUACAGUUUCUUUAAUUCGAAUUAGGAUUCAUAUGGAACCAACUGUCAAAUUAUCCUUUUAAAAGAAAUUUUUAGCUGCAAAUUCAUAAUUUUUGACAGAACAAAUUCCUAUAAUUAAACUUUGCGUUAAUUUCUGAUUAAUUCACCAUACACAUCAUUAAACUACUCACUGCAGAAUUCUACAAGGAACCUCUUUUUGGGAGUCAAGCCCCUCUACAGCGUGAAAUACCAUGUAGGUUAUUUUAAUGUGAUCAGAGAACUCAGACACUGCCUAUUUGAAAACCCCAGUCAUUGGCAACGACCUCAAGUAAGAAAUCCAACCGGUGCUACAAUGAAACAUGCCAAAGAAAAAUUCAAUAAGAGGAGGAACUAUUUUUGUAAACUAGCACAUUUUCUCCAUUAAAUGAUCAUGUUAAAUCUCAAAACUUACUUGACCAAUGACCGUUUGCACAGUGACAGUUUUAAACUAAAUUUUAUUUCAAACUGGAUUAAAUCCAUAUCAAGUCUCA